GGUUAAGCGAAUAAGCGUACACGGUGGAUGCCUAGGCAAUCAGAGGCGAUGAAGGACGUGCUAAUCUGCGAAAAGCGUCGGUAAGGUGAUAUGAACCGUUAUACCCGACGAUAUCCGAAU
rnacentral:rRNA from 1 species